ACCCAACAGUGUUUUACUAUAUAAACAUGGUCCAACCUUUAUUUUGCCAUUCUGAGAUCCGGUUGCCAGAAGAUCGGUGUCCUGGCUGAAGCACAUACACAGCACAGCAUCAUCCAUCAUCAUGAAGCUGUCUUGUGCCUGUGUAGAAGUUCCACACCUCAAUGAACCCGUCCACCGAUCCGGUGAUCAGGGAAACGCAAAGAGGAGCAACUGGGGCGGCUCCACCUGGAUGCAAGUGAUGAAAGCACAGCCGGAGUCUGAGAUAAGUGCCUUCA